rnacentral:rRNA from 1 species
AUUCCGGUUGAUCCUGGCAGAGGUUACUGCUAUCGAGAUUCGACUAAGCCAUGCGAGUUGAAUGUUCUUCGUGAACAUGGCGGACUGCUCAGUAACACGUGGACAACCUACCCUUUGGUCUGGCAUAAUCCUGGGAAACUGGGGAUAAUUCCGGAUAGGUCACAGAUGCUGGAAUGCACUGUGGCUGAAAGCUCCGGCGCCGAAGGAUGGGUCUGCGGCCUAUCAGGGUUGUAGUGGGUGUAAUGUACCUACUANCCUACGACGGNUACGGGUUG